rnacentral:rRNA from 1 species
UACGGAGGGUGCAAGCGUUAAUCGGAAUUACUGGGCGUAACGCGCACGCAGGCGGUCUGUCAAGUCGGAUGUGAAAUCCCCGGGCUCAACCUGGGAACUGCAUUCGAAACUGGCAGGCUGGAGUAUUGUAGAGGGGGGUAGAAUUCCAGGUGUAGCGGUGAAAUGCGUAGAGAUCUGGAGGAAUACCGGUGGCGAAGGCGGCCCCCUGGACGAUGACUGACGCUCAUGCACGAAAGCGUGGGGAGCAAACAGG